rnacentral:rRNA from 1 species
GACCAUGAAGCAGCUACGCCAGUAGUUGUGGAGUCGUCCUUGAAAUACCACCCUUGAAUAUUUGAAGUUCUAACUCAGGAGAGAUUCGAGGACAGUGUAUGGUGGGUAGUUUGACUGGGGCGGUCUCCUCCUAAAGAGUAACGGAGGAGUACGAAGGUGCACUCGGUACGGUCGGAAAUCGUGCCAAGAGUAUAAAGGCAAAAGUGCGCUUGACUGCGAGAGUGACGGCUCGAGCAGGUACGAAAGUAGGUCUUAGUGAUCCGGUGGUCCCGAAUGGAAGGGUCAUCGCUCAACGGAUAAAAGGUACUCCGGGGAUAACAGGCUAAUUCCUCCCAAGAGUUCAUAUCGACGGAGGAGUUUGGCACCUCGAUGUCGGCUCAUCACAUCCUGGGGCUGAAGUAGGUCCCAAGGGUAUGGCUGUUCGCCAUUUAAAGUGGUACGCGAGCUGGGUUCAGAACGUCGUGAGACAGUUCGGUCCCUAUCUGCCGUGGGCGUUAGAGAUUUGAGAAGAGUUGCUCCUAGUACGAGAGGACCGGAGUGAACGAACCACUGGCGUUCCGGUUGUUUCGCCAGAAGCAUUGCCGGGUAGCUACGUUUGGACGGGAUAAACGCUGAAAGCAUCUAAGCGUGAAGCCUCCUUCAAGAUUAGAUCUCUCUGAUGAAAAUCAGUAAGGAACGUUGGAGACUACGACGUUGAUAGGCUGGGUGUGGAAGUACAGCAAUGUAUGAAGCUUACCAGUACUAAUGAUCCGAGAGACUUAAGUCUAU